UACGGAGGGUGCAAGCGUUAUCCGGAUUCACUGGGUUUAAAGGGUGCGUAGGUGGGCUGGUAAGUCAGAGGUGAAAUCUCGCCGCUCAACGGCGAAACUGCCUUUGAUACUAUCAGUCUUGAAUCCGGUAGAGAUCUGUGGAAUUCCGAGUGUAGCAGUGAAAUGUGUAGAUAUUCGGAAGAACACCAGUGGCGAAGGCAGCAGAUUGGGCCGGUAUUGACGCUCAGGCACGAAAGCAUGGGGAUCAAACAGG
rnacentral:rRNA from 1 species